rfam:Medicago truncatula strain A17 unplaced genomic scaffold scaffold0053, whole genome shotgun sequence.
AAGUAGUGUGACAUGUCCGUUGUUUGAUGAACUCUGAUUAUUUUAUUUAUUAUUAAUGAUUUUUGGGAUAACGGGGUGUUACAUCAUG